rnacentral:rRNA from 1 species
AGUUGCGAAGGCGGCUCUCUGGACUGUAACUGACGCUGAGGCACGAAAGCGUGGGGAGCAAACAGGAUUAGAUACCCUGGUAGUCCACGCUGUAAACGAUGAGUACUAGGUGUCGGGGGUUACCCCCUUCGGUGCCGCAGCUAACGCAUUAAGUACUCCGCCUGGGAAGUACGCUCGCAAGAGGGAAACUCAAAGGAAUUGACGGGGACCCGAACAAGUAGCGGAGCAUGUGGUGUAAUUCGGAGCACCGGGAAGAACCUGACCUAAGCUUGACAGCCAAAUGACAUCUCCUUAAUCGGGGAGUUCCCUUCGGGGACAUUGGGGACAGGUGGUGCAUGGUUGUCGUCAGCUCGUGUCGUGAGAUGUUGGGUUAAGUCCCGCAACGAGCGCAACCCUUGUCUUUAGUUGCCAUCAUUAAGUUGGGCACUCUAGAGAGACUGCCAGGGAUAACCUGGAGGAAGGUGGGGAUGACGUCAAAUCAUCAUGCCCCUUAUGCUUAGGGCUACACACGUGCUACAAUGGGUAGUACAGAGGGUUGCCAAGCCGUAAGGUGGA